AAAGCGUGCGUAGGCGGCUUUUUAAGUCGGAUGUGAAAUCCCCGAGCUUAACUUGGGAAUUGCAUUCGAUACUGGGAAGCUAGAGUAUGGGAGAGGAUGGUAGAAUUCCAGGUGUAGCGGUGAAAUGCGUAGAGAUCUGGAGGAAUACCGAUGGCGAAGGCAGCCAUCUGGCCUAAUACUGACGCUGAGGUACGAAAGCAUGGGGAGCAAACAGGAUUAGAUACCCUAGU
rnacentral:rRNA from 1 species